AUGGUUGUUGUUUUUGAUAUUUCUUAUGGUUUAUCUGAUGUAUUCAUUUCAAUCUGGUUUUUGAGAUUUAGGGCUUUUGAAAUAAAGUUAUUAGAUUUAUGGUUUAUUAGGGUUUCAUUUAAAUCUCAUAAGUUAGUUAUGUGUUUGUAUACAUGGUUUCUGUUUUGGGUUUUACUCUUAUGA